UUACGGAACAGAGGAGAGAUGCCGGCUGGAGGACACAGCAAAUUUGAACCAAGAGGAGCUUGGAGGAAGCCCGAGCGACCUGGAGGGGACUGGCUGACCUUCCUCAUUCUUUUCAAGUGUGAAUAAUAACCAAGCCCAGUUUGGCAACUCCUUGAGGGUGAGGACGAAGCCCCAUUCUCCUUUUUGGAACUUGGUGGGGCUCAGGAAGCAGGUUCUCUCCAGUCGGUGGCUUUCCUUUCUGUUGCGGGUCUCUUGAGGGCCUGCCUUCAUGAAGGCACAUGAGUGACUCAUCAUUUGUGAAUUAAUUGCUAUAUGUGAAGGGCAUCUGAGAACAAAUUAUCUUCAUAGACUUUUCAUUAUAAUU
rnacentral:antisense_RNA from 1 species